rnacentral:tRNA from 1 species
GUGGAUAUAGCUCAGUGGUAGAGUGUCUGCUUAGCAUGCAUGAGGUCCUGGGUUCAAACCCCAGUAACUCCA